rnacentral:lncRNA from 1 species
CAAUGACUUGUAACAACUUAAAUAAGUUAAAUGGUUAAACAUUGCCACCUCUAGCUUGGAGUUUGUAGAGUGGCAACUAAAUACAUUAAUCAUUGUAUUUGAGUGGCCACACUUGUAUUAGCUUUAUAUUGAUAAAAUGCUGUGCAUAUCCCCUACCAAGUUGAAAUCCUUGCAGCCAAAGCAUGAAUAACUCUACCCCCAUUACAUCUAAGAAAAUAGCUCCUGCCAAAGAUGCAUCAAAAUCUAAUUUAAGCACUCCAUCUAACUGAAAUGGAAGAAGAAGAAGAAGAAGGAGAGGGGUCACAAGUACCCAAACCAUCCCAAUGCCUUGCUAUGAUGCUGAGAUGUUGAGAUGACCUUGAGAUUACAAGCAGAAAGAAACUCUUUUGCAAGGUAGAUAUAGCUUUAGAUGAUAAAGCCUCUGUGCUGGCUUUCCUGCAGUCCAUUUUAGCUAGUAUAAAAAGGCUCUGUUAUGAUCUCUUUCUCAUAUCUCUGCUUGGUAAUGAUGGAAACUGAUCAUCCAUGGACUUCCAUCCAGCAUAAACCUUUAUCUGAAAAUUUUCUAAAAGGUAAAUUUUGUAAUUACGCAUCCUAAUAGAGACCUUUUUCGUAGUUUUGUUACAAAACGAUAUUAAUUAGUGUACCUUUAAAAAAGGAAAGUAUUGCCACAUGUCAUCCGAUCCUGUUAAUCACAACCAUCGGCUCAUCCAUGCGUACUCCAUGUAUUUAGAAUGGCAAUUUCGGUAAAUCUGCAUCAAUCCCAGCCCUUAUUUGUAAUUCCAUUUACCUAGUAAUAUAAAUAUACGAAAGUCCCUCCCCUUAUUUGUAAAUUUGUGUGUGUUUCUUCAUACAUAUCGGAUAAAUAUAUAUUUCUUGCUACUUUCCACUUUCUAUUUUCCAAUAAUCAUGCAAGUCUUGUUACUUUCAUGUUUAAUCAUUUAAUGUGGAGGGUAAUAGCGCAUAUCCUGCUGAUAUCUCGCCUCACCGAGAUCAUAAGCAUCAGCUCAUGCCCAAGGAGCCACUAUUCACGUCCAAAACGGACUCUCCCAUGCACACGUUAAAGGAAAUCUCAUUGCUAUCAUUAUCCCGUCCUUCUCUCCUGUAAUUGGUAUACAUAACUGGAAACAUUUUAAACCAGAUCCUAAAAAAAAGGAUCACAUGGAUCUCAUACUUGUAAAUGUAUACCUCACGUAUGAAAUAAAAUCUCAAGCAAGAGAUUAUUCUCCAAAGACCAGGUUACGUCUUUAUGGUAUCAGAGCCACCCACAGGUCCUACCUCCUCUCCAAUGGCCUCCAAUGGUUCCUCCUCCCAAUUCAUCUCUCCGUCCCAAUCCCCAACCCUUUCCACUCUCAAAAUUACCCCAACUAUCAAGCUCACGAGGGAUAACUAUCUGGUUUGGCGCGCCACUCUGCUUGCGGUCUUCAAUAGCCAUGCACUAACUGGCUAUCUCGAUGGCACCAUCUCUGCUCCGAGCAUCACCCUCGCUGAUGAUACCUCUAAUCCCUCUCACUCGAAAUGAUUCCGUAUGGAUCAGCUUCUCAUGAGCUGGAUCCUCUCUACUUUAUCUGAACCUCUUCUUCCAUUUAUUGUCAACUCGACUUCUUCUCAUGCUCUAUGGAGCUCUCUUGGAAAAAUGUUUUCUGCUGAAACAUCUGCUAGAGAAUUACAUCUCCGUCAGCUCUUAAAAGAUACUGUCAAAGGCGACAAUUCUAUCUCUAAAUAUUUUUAGAAAAUUCGAUCCAUCACUGAUAGUCUUGCUUCAUUAAACAACCUGUUCAUGAUUCAGAAUUGUUUCACUACAUUCUUGGUGGUCUCUCUAGAGAAUAUCUCCAAUUUGUUACUGCUAUCACAGCCCAGGGUCGCAAGCACAGCUUUGAGGAACUCUACAGCUUACUCCUCAACCACGAGUCUCAGCUGGAGCUUUUCCAAGCCAAAACUGACCCCAAGCAAAGUUUAUUCAUGGCUUCUCACCAGCGGCCACCUUCCUCUGGGUCGUGUCCACACUACAACAGAGGCAAAUCUAGGAACUUCUCACUGCGCCCUCCUUCUCACUCUUACUAUCAACCUCCUGCUCAUCAGCACUAUAGGGCUCAUAGCCGUCAUCCCUAUGGUGGUCACCAUUAUCAGGGCUCCUCCUCCAUGCAUCCGUAUCAGCAAGGAAUCAUGGGCCUAUGCCCUGUUAUCUGCCAGAUCUAUGGUGGGACGGGCCACUCUACACUAGACUGCUCUCACCGUAUGAAUCGGUCUUAUCAUCCUCCUGUUCAAGCUUAUGCGGCUGUGACUUCUCCUGCUAUUCAGGAUUAGGCAUGGUAUCCUAACUCUGGCGCCACAUGCCAUGUUACUUCUGAUGCUGGGCAACUUCUUGAGUCUACACCAUAUCAGGGCAAUGAGCAAGUGUGGGCGAUGGAUCAGCCAUAGACAUCACUAAUAUUGGUAACAUGACUCUCCACACCAACUCUUCUUCUUUCUUUCUUCCCAGAGUCCUUCAUGUCCCUUCAAUUCGCAAAAAUCUUCUAUCAGUUUCUCAGUUUACUAAAGAGCAUAAAGUCUUCUUUGAAUUUCAUUCUUGGGGUUUUCUAGUCAAGGACACUCAAACGCAAGCCAUUCUGGCUCAGAGACAUCUUAAAGGAAGUCUGUAUCAAUUCGACGGUCCUCCUCCACUUCAAUGCCUUGCCACCCAUGCUUCAUCAGACGUCUGGCAUCACCGACUGGGCCAUCCCUCUCUUCCAGUCAGGCGGCGGAUUUUCUCAUCAUCCUUUAUCACAUCUACCAGCUCGUCUCCAUCCUUUUGACUGCUUGUCCUCUUGGCAAGGCUCACAGACUACCAUUUUUUCUUUUUGAACCGUGUGUUUCUCGUCCUCUUGAAUUAAUAUGUUUUGAUGUCUGGGGACCAGCACCAGUUCUAUCUUCUACUGGUCAUCGUUUCUUUGUUAUUUUUAUUGAUGUAUUUUCUCGUUAUUGUUGGAUUUUCUCUAUGUUUCAUAAAUCUGAGGUGUUAUCUGAUUUCAUUUCCUUCAAAAAGGCUAUGAAAAAUCAGUUUUCUUCUUCUAUCUGCAUGCUUCAAGCUGACAAUGGUGGAGAGUAUGUUAACAAUAUUUUUACUACAUAUCUCAAAUCUCAUUGCAUCCAGCAUCGCACCACAUGCCCGUAUACUCCUCAACAGAAUGGGUUUUCCAAGCGGAAGCAUCGUCGCAUCAUUGAAACUGCUCUCACCAUGAUGGCCCAUGCCUCUAUCCUUUCACACUUUUGGCAGCCAGCUUUUCAGACUGCAGUUUAUCUUAUUAACCGCAUGCCAACUCCAGUUUUGGGGAACCGGUCUCAACUGGAAGUACUCUUUGGCAAAGUUUCGGUGUAUGACUCUCUCAAGAUAUUUGGCUGCCAAUGCUUUUCCUGGACUCGUCCUCUUAAUUCCAACAAGUUCGAGGAUCGAUCGAGACCUUGUGUCUUUUUGGGAUACCCAUCCAAUUAGAAGGGAUGCAUCCGCUAUGAUAUAUCUGGAGAGAGAUUUCUCAUCUCUAGACAUGCUUUUAAUGAAUCUAUUUUUUCCUUUUGUAGAUCUCAAGGCUAUAGGUCCCUCUCCCUCUACUAUACCCGCACCCUCCUCCUCUCUCCUUGUUCCCUUCCCACCCAUCCAUCACCACACGCCACCUCCUCUGCCCUCUCUCUUCCGCUAAGCCUCCUCCACCACCACUUCCUCUUUCCCUUCCCCUAAUCCGUCUUCCCAACCAACCACCCCACCAAGCUCACCCGACCACCACUUCUCCUCUCCUCAUAUUUCUCCACCACCUCAACACCAGAUGGUCACCCGAUCUCAAGAUGGAACCCGCCCUCCUCCUCCCUCCAGAUAUCUGGAUUUUCUUACCCUACGCCAUCCCAUCCCAUCUUGUUAUGUCCUUAGAUUCUCCACUAUUGACAGAGCCUCACAAUUUCAUAGAGGCUAGUAAAAGUCCUUCCUGGCGCGAUGCUAUGCUCCAGGAGUUUAAUGCCUUACUCAAAAAUUAGACCUGGGUUUUGGUUCCUCGCAUGCCAGAUAUUCAUAUCAUUGGAUCAAAAUGGGUAUACAAGAUUAAACAACGGUCUGAUGGCUUGAUCGAGCAGUUCAAAGCACGCCUUGUCUCCAAGAGCUUUCAUCAACAAUACGGUUUAGAUUAUGAGGAGACUUUCUCUCCUGUGGUCAAACCCACCACUAUAUGCCUCAUCAUCAGCCUGGCUAUCUCUCGCGGUUGGCAGAUUAGACAGCUUGAUGUUAAGAAUGCCUUUCUUUAUGGUGAUUUGUCGGAAACCGUAUAUAUGACUCAACCGCAGGGGUUUGUGGACGUUGAUCAUCCUUAUCAUGUAUGCCACCUGAAGAAAGCUUUGUAUGGCCUUAAGCAGGCCCCUAGAGGUUGGUUUCACAAACUAAGAUCAGCUCUUCUUCUUCUUGGUUUUUCACAUUGUUCUUUGGACUCUUCGAUGUUUGUUCAUCAUAGUGCCUCCACUCUUACAGUUUUCCUUAUAUAUGUGGACGACAUCUUGGUGACAGGCAAUGAUUCCAGUCAUAUUGAUCGUACCCUGCACCUUCUCUCUCAGCAGUUUGAUAUCAAAGAUCUUGGACCUCUCAAUUUCUUCCUUGGUAUUCAAGCCCAACGGAAUUCUGACGGUCUCUAUCUCAGCCAGCAAAAUUAUAUUUUAGAUCUUCUUUCCAAGUCCAAGAUACUAGAAGCAAAGCCCUGUUCUACUCCACUAUCCAUGACCACUGUUCUAUCUAAACAUGAUGGUGAUCUCAUUCAUGAUGCAACUGAGUACAGGAGCUUGGUGGGUGCUUUGCAGUACCUCACCAUCACUAGACCUGACAUAUCUUAUGCUGUGAAUCAACUCUGCCAACAUAUGCAAACACCAAGAACUCCUCAUUUGGCAGUAGUCAAACGGGUCUUACGUUAUCUUAAAGGUUCCAUACACAAAGGGCUCUUUUACUCAGCCUGUUCUUCCUCCACUGUUUCCAUCUUCUCUAAUGUUGACUGGGCUGGAGAUAAGGAUGAUCAUCGCUCUACCUCCGAUUUUUGUGUCUUUCAUGGAUCACAUCUAAUCGGAUGGUCGGUGAAGAAGCUGACUGUUAUCUCCAGAUCGAGUAUAGAGGCUGAGUACCGAUCACUGGCCAAUACUACUGCUGAAGCUGUCUAGAUCAAAAGGUUACAAUGUGAUCUUGGUCUUUCUUCUACAGAGCCACCGGUUCUCUUUUGUGACAACAUAAGUACUACUUAUCUUGCCUCCAAUCCGGUGCAUCACAAUAGAUCAAAACACAUAGAUAUCGAUCAUCAUUUUAUCAGAGAUUAGAUCACUCAAGGCUACAUCCAAUUGCGGUAUAUCACUACUCAGGAGCAAAUUGCUGAUAUUUUCACUAAAGCAUUUCUUUCUCCACGUUUUGGAUACUUAAGGUUUGGGGGGGGGGGGGGGGGGGGGAGGGGUGGUAAUAGCACAUAUCCUGCUGAUCUCUUGCCUCACCGAAAUCAUAGGCAUCAGCUCACACCCAAGGAGCCGCUGUUCACAUUCAAAACGGACUCUCCCAUGCACACGUUAAAGGAAAGCUCAUUGCUGUCAUUAUCCCGUCCUUCUCUCCUAUAAUUGGUGUACAUAACUGGAAACAUUUUAAACUAGAUCCUAAAAGAUAGGAUCACAUGGAUCUCAUACUUGUAAAUAUAUACCUCACGUAUGAAAUAAAAUCUCAAGCAAGAGAUUAUUCUCCAAAGAC